rnacentral:hammerhead_ribozyme from 13 species
CAGGCGUCUGGGGUAGGGGUCGUCGACCAUCAGCCCCACUGACGAGUCUUGGGAGAUGAUUUUCGAGACGAAACGCCGU